AUGUUCAGCAAGAAUACCCCCUCUCAAGAAAAUAAAGAAGUUAUGAGCGCCCUCCAAGUGAGUAAUGAGACCAGAUCAGAAAAGUAUUUGGGGCUACCGGUCUUUAUUGGAAAAUCAAAAAGUAAGGUUUUUCAAUACCUGAAGGAGAGAAUAUGGAGGAAAAUUCAGGGAUGGAAAGAGAGAAUGUUAUCAUGUGCAGGAAAGGAAAUCCUCAUAAAAGUGGUUGCACAAGCGAUCCCUAUUUAUGCUAUGGCAUGUUUCGACAUAACUAAGUCCCUAUGUGAUCAGAUAAGCGCAAUGAUAUGCCGAUAUUGGUGGAGCCAAAUGGACAAGGAAAACAAAAUUCAUUGGAUAAGUUGGGAGAAACUUGUCUUGCCAAAGAGGGAAGGUGGAUUAGGAUUUAGGGAUCUCCAUUGUUUCAACCUCGCGAUGUUAGCAAAACAGGCAUGGAGACUCAUUCAGAAUCCUAACUCAUUAUGUGCUCAAGUCUUAGCUGCAAAGUAUUUCCCCCAUGGGCAAAUUCUGAAGGCAACAACUAUGAAGCGCAUGUCAUACUCCUGGCGAAGUAUCUUGAAGGGGGUCAAGGUGCUUAAUGAGGGUGUUAUUUGGCGAGUGGGAAAUGGCUUAAACAUAAACAUUUGGAAUGAUCCAUGGCUACUGCGAAGCUCAACGAGGAGGCCAAUCACAGUAAGAGGAAGAAACAUGUUACUAUACAAAGUAUCUGAACUCAUAAACCCUGUGACCGGAAGCUGGGAUGAAGAAUUAGUCUAUCAAACCUUCUGCAAUGAAGAUGCCAAUCUCAUUAUGCAGCUGCAAGUAAAUGAGUCAGCGGAUGACAAUUUAGCUUGGCAUUAUGACAAGAAGGGCCUCUUCACAGUAAAGUCUGCAUACAAGGUGGCAAUGGACGGUGAAGCCAAACAUACAACUAGUGGGGUCCAAUCAGGCUCAAAAAGUACAUCAAAUAGUCUCAGUUUUGAUUGGAUGAAAUUAUGGAAGAUCCCCUUACCAAGUAAGAUCCGACUUUUCCUAUGGAGAUUAGCACAUCACAGCCUGCCUUGGAGACAAAAGCUAAUUAAGAGAGGAAUGGAGAUUAGUUCUAAAUGCCCUGUUUGUUACAGGUUGGAUGAGGAUGGGGGCCACUGUUUCCUCAAAUGCAAGCAAGUAAAGAAAAUAUGGAGGGCACUACAAAUGGAAGAUAUCAGGCUAUCUCUCGUAAGUUAUCCCAACCCCCAAGAUGUUUUAAUUGAAAUCUUUAAACUAAAAGAAGAGGUAGCUACAAAAAUAUGUAUUAUGUUGUGGUUGUGGUGGCAUGAACGUAAUAAAGCAAAUAGAGGUGAACAAAUUAGAAACUGUGAGGAGGUAGUAAGCUCAAUAGUAUUACAUCAUUUUGAGUUUAUGCAGAUGGUAAAGGAAGACAUGUACACAGGAAAAACCACAACAUCACGGGAAAAAUGGACUCCACCGCCAUCAAGUUACCUGAAAAUAAAUGUUGAUGGAGCUUUC
rnacentral:rRNA from 1 species